UAUAGGUUUGGUCCUAGCCUUUUUAUUAGUUCCUAGUAAAAUUAUACAUGCAAGUAUCCACCCCCCAGUGAGAAUGCCCUCUAGGUCCAACAGACCAAAAGGAGCAGGCAUCAAGAACACUAAAUAGUAGCUCACAACGCCUUGCUCAACCACACCCCCACGGGACACAGCAGUAAUAAAAUUUCAGCAAUAAACGAAAGUUCGACUAAGUUAUACUAGACUAUUAGGGUUGGUAAAUUUCGUGCCAGCCACCGCGGUCAUACGAUUAACCCAAACUAAUAAAGCACGGCGUAAAGCGUGUUUAAGAUUCCACCAAACUAAAGUUAAACCCUAGCUAAGCUGUAAAAAGCUGCAGCUAACCUUAAAAUAAACCACGAAAGUGACUUUAAUGCUCUGAAGACACGACAGCUAAGAUCCAAACUGGGAUUAGAUACCCCACUAUGCUUAGCCAUAAACACAAAUAACUAUAAACAAAUUUAUUCGCCAGAGUACUACAAGCAACAGCUUAAAACUCAAAGGACUUGGCGGUGCUUCACAUCCCUCUAGAGGAGCCUGUUCUAUAACCGAUAAACCCCGAUAAACCUUACCACCCCUUGCUAAUCCAGUCUAUAUACCGCCAUCUUCAGCAAACCCUAAAAAGGCCUUAAAGUAAGCAUAAGUAUACACAUAAAAACGUUAGGUCAAGGUGUAACCUAUGGGGUGGAAAGUAAUGGGCUACAUUUUCUACUUUAGAAUACCACGGAUAUUCCUAUGAAAACAAGAAUUAAAGGAGGAUUUAGCAGUAAACUAAGAGUAGAGAGCUUAGUUGAAAAAGGCCAUGAAGCACGCACACACCGCCCGUCACCCUCCUCAAAUGCAACUUAACAACAUGCAUCCAUAAACAAAACUAACAUGAACGCAUAAGACGAGACAAGUCGUAACAAGGUAAGCAUACUGGAAAGUGUGCUUGGAGUAGA
rnacentral:ncRNA from 1 species